rnacentral:tRNA from 1 species
GGGGAGAUUCCCGAGAGGCUAAAGGGGGCAGACUGUAAAUCUGCUGUCGACGACUUCGCAGGUUCGAAUCCUGCUCUCCCCACCA